rnacentral:lncRNA from 1 species
CAGACAUUUUACUUUGUGAAAUGCCAGACAAUUUUACUCCUCAAGAGCAGUGUCCUGCUCACUAAUGGUUAUCCAAACUAUCUGCCAAUGUCCCUUGAUAACCCAUUAGGCCGAAAUGCACCCAAAUGGACCCGCCUUUGUUAUUUUACUCUGUCAAACGCCAGACAAUUUUAGUCAUCAAGAAGAGAGUCCUGCGUGCUAGUGGGUUAAAUUACUUAAUUACAUAUGUUAUAUAUAAACGUAAGCUGUUAGAUUGUCCCAUUGUAUAUUAAUUUUUUACUUAUCUUGACACAGGCUUGUAUGUUGGAUUGAUACGACUACCUGUAAAUAUGGUUAAACUUGGCUAUGUGAUUCAAAGGUUGUGGUACAAUGAUACAAAAAAAAAGAAAAUGAUACAAAGAUGGAAUGAUUGGAUGCAAGUUAUUUACAGUGUUUCAUAUGACAGGUAUUCUGAUUGUGGAAGAUGUGGGCUUGCAAUAUUUUGACAAUUGCAUGGCUAUAAAGUACGAGACAAUUAAUAUAGUACUCCAUUACUCUAAUUGCCAGAACACUGCAUCAGAAUGAGAAGUGGUCUGUUACAGUUCGGUUUAGUAAAAGUACAUAGUAAAAGUACAUAGUAAACUAUGUAAAAUGUAAUUUAGUCAGUGUCAAAUAAAUAUUUUGUC